rnacentral:tRNA from 2 species
GGGGGUGUAGCUCAGUUGGUUAGAGCGCCUGCCUGUCACGUAGGAGGUCGCGAGUUCGAAUCUCGUCACUCCCGCCA